CCUACGGGUGGCAGCAGUGAGGAAUAUUGGUCAAUGGGAGAGAUCCUGAACCAGCCAAGCCGCGUGAGGGAAGACGGCCCUAUGGGUUGUAAACCUCUUUUGUCGGAGAACAAAACCCGGGACGUGUCCCGGACUGCGUGUAUCCGAAGAAAAAGCAUCGGCUAACUCCGGGCCAGCAGCCGCGGUAAUCCGGGGGAUGCGAGCGUUAUCCGGAUUUAUUGGGUUUAAAGGGUGCGUAGGCGGUCCGUUAAGUCAGCGGUAAAAUUGCGGGGCUAAACCCCGUCGAGCAGUUGAAACUGGCAGACUGGAGUUGGGGAGAGGUAGGCGGAAUGCGCGGUGUAGCGGUGAAAUGCGGAGAUAUCGCGAAGAACUCCGAUUGUGAAGGCAGCGUACCGGAGGAAGACUGACGCUGAGGCACGAAAGCGUGGGGAUCGAACAGGAUUAGAUACCCCUGUAGUC
rnacentral:rRNA from 1 species